rnacentral:rRNA from 1 species
CAGUGGGGAAUAUUGGACAAUGGGCGCAAGCCUGAUCCAGCCAUACCGCGUGGGUGAAGAAGGCCUUCGGGUUGUAAAGCCCUUUUGUUGGGAAAGAAAUCCUAUCGGUUAAUAACCGGUGGGGAUGACGGUACCCAAAGAAUAAGCACCGGCUAACUUCGUGCCAGCAGCCGCGGUAAUACGAAGGGUGCAAGCGUUACUCGGAAUUACUGGGCGUAAAGCGUGCGUAGGUGGUGGUUUAAGUCUGCUGUGAAAGCCCUGGGCUCAACCUGGGAAUUGCAGUGGAUACUGGAUCACUAGAGUGUGGUAGAGGGAUGCGGAAUUUCUGGUGUAGCAGUGAAAUGCGUAGAGAUCAGAAGGAACAUCCGUGGCGAAGGCGGCAUCCUGGGCCAACACUGACACUGAGGCACGAAAGCGUGGGGAGCAAACAGGAUUAGA